rnacentral:rRNA from 1 species
CCCUUAGAUGUUCUGGGCCGCACACGCGCUACACUGAAGGAGGCAGCGUGUACUCCUGGAUCGAAAGAUUUGGGUAACCCGCGAAUCUCCUUCGUGCUAGGGAUUGAGGUUUGCAAUUAUUCUUCAUGAACGAGGAAUUCCCAGUAAGUGCAAGUCAUAAGCUUGCGCUGACUACGUCCCUGCCCUUUGUACACACCGCCCGUUGCUACUACCGAUUGAAUGAUUUAGUGAGGACUUCGGACUGGGACCGAUGCGGCUUUCGGGCUGCGUCGGUAUUCUGGAAAGAUGUCCAAACUGUAUCAUUUAGAGGAAGUAAAANUCGUANCA